rnacentral:rRNA from 1 species
AGCGAACGCUGGCGGCAGGCUUAACACAUGCAAGUCGAACGGGCACUUCGGUGCUAGUGGCAGACGGGUGAGUAACGCGUGGGAACGUGCCUUUCGGUUCGGAAUAAUCCAGGGAAACUUGGACUAAUACCGGAUACGCCCUUCGGGGGAAAGAUUUAUCGCCGAAAGAUCGGCCCGCGUCUGAUUAGCUAGUUGGUGAGGUAAAGGCUCACCAAGGCGACGAUCAGUAGCUGGUCUGAGAGGAUGAUCAGCCACAUUGGGACUGAGACACGGCCCAAACUCCUACGGGAGGCAGCAGUGGGGAAUAUUGGACAAUGGGCGCAAGCCUGAUCCAGCCAUGCCGCGUGAGUGAUGAAGGCCUUAGGGUUGUAAAGCUCUUUUGUCCGGGAAGAUAAUGACUGUACCGGAAGAAUAAGCCCCGGCUAACUUCGUGCCAGCCGCCGCAGUAACAC